AUGGAACCAGUGGCGGCCGACGAGAUCCUCCUGCGCAAGAUCUUGCUGGGGCUGCCGACGAGGGCCGUCGCCCGCGGCCGCUGUGUGUCCACGCAGUGGCGCGGCCUCCUCUCCGACCCGGCCUUCCUCGACGUCCACGCCCACUCCGCCCACGUCGUCUCCGGCGCCGGCGCCGCCGCGGAGGCGCUGCUGGUCUCCCAGACCGAGCCGGAGCCCGGCCUGGUCCCCAAGACGACCGUCUACAACGUCUCCACGGCGGCGACCAUGUGCUUUCUCUACUUGCCCGCCGGGUACACCCCCGCCCAAGCCUGCAACGGCUUCGUCCUCUUCGUCGCCAACAACGCCAGCUGGCUGCCGCUCGUCAUCUGCAACCCCAUCACCGGCGUCGAGCUGCCGGUUGACCCGCCGCUCAGGAGCGAGACGUCGUCGAGCGUGUUCUGGAACUCUCACUGGCACAUGGACGCCAUGGGGUACAGCCCGUCGACGCGGGAGUACAAGCUCUUCCGCCUCUCCUUCUCGGCCAGCGGCGACCAAGGGCUGCUCGAUGUCAACUACCUGCAGGUGUUCACCUUGGGCCGUGGGCCGGGGGCAGGCGUGUGGCGCCGCCGCCAAGGCCUCUUCACCUGCCACGUGAUGGGCUCGCCGCCGGCUCUCAUCGAUGGCACCUUGUACUUCCUGGCCAAGCAGCGGGACCGAGACAGGAAGCCUGACAGCCUGAUGAUCAUCGACGUGGCCACCGAGACAUGCUGCACGUGCCGCCUCCCCAUCUACUACACAGAUGAAGCAGUGGCCCAUGUCCUGGAGCUUCAAGGCCGCCCAAGCGUCGCCAUGCAUGAACUCAGCCCGAUGAACCGCCUCCAGUUCUUGGUCCUUUCGUCGUCGGCUCCGCUCUGCUGGCAGCUGCGCUACAUCUUUGAGAUGGGCGCCACUCACCUUGUCCACCAACCUCGCCAGUACUCCCACCUGAGGGCCGCCUGGUUCGACGCCAAUGCCAACAGUGAUGACAACGCCGACACCAACGGCGGCAUACUCUGCUACCUCUACGGUGACUGCGUGUACAAGUACGACACCUCGCAGGACCAGCCAUGCUUCGACAAGGUGUGGGAUGAUCAGAAGCAGCUGCACUUAUCGGACAUCAGCCGGAGCGUCCUUCCCGGCUACCGUCCUAACCUACUCUCACCUGACGAUCUCGCCAUCACCCCGCGGCAAGCAGGAGAAGAGUUCGCGGUCGUGCUGCUACGUGCACUCAGGGAGUUGAAGAAACGCCGCCGCUCGCCAAGCCCGCCCGCCACCGUGUGA
rnacentral:rRNA from 1 species